rnacentral:misc_RNA from 1 species
GAUGAAGAACGUAGCGAAAUGCGAUAAGUAAUGUGAAUUGCAGAAUUCAGUGAAUCAUCGAAUCUUUGAACGCACAUUGCGCCCGCCAGUAUUCUGGCGGGCAUGCCUGUUCGAGCGUCAUUACAACCCUCAGGCCCCCGGGCCUGGCGUUGGGGAUCGGCGGAAGCCCCCUGCGGGCACAACGCCGUCCCCCAAAUACAGUGGCGGUCCCGCCGCAGCUUCCAUUGCGUAGUAGCUAACACCUCGCAACUGGAGAGCGGCGCGGCCACGCCGUAAAACACCGAACUUCUGAAUGUUGACCUCGAAUCAGGUAGGAAUACCCGCUGAACUUAAGCAUAUCAAUAAGCGGAGGA